rnacentral:rRNA from 1 species
UACGUAGGGGGCGAGCGUUGUCCGAAGUUACUGGGCGUAAAGCGCGCGUAGGCGGUCUCUUAAGUCCGGGGUGAAAGGUUCAGCGCUCAACGCGAACAGUGCCUAGGAGACUGGGAGACUUGAGUGUGGGAGGGGGCAGUGGAAUUCCGGGUGUAGCGGUGAAAUGCGUAGAUAUCCGGAGGAACACCGAUGGCGAAGGCAGCUGCCUGGCCUGACACUGACGCUGAGGUGCGAAAGCGUGGGGAGCGAACGGG